rnacentral:rRNA from 1 species
ACGCACCUUUCGGGGUGAGUGGCGGACGGGUGAGUAACGCGUGAGAAUCUGCCUAGAGGUCGGGGACAACCAUUGGAAACGAUGGCUAAUACCGGAUAUGCCUUACGGGGUGAAAGAUUAAUCGCCUUUAGAAGAGCUCGCGUCUGAUUAGCUAGUUGGUAGGGUAAAAGCCUACCAAGGCAUCGAUCAGUAGCUGGUCUGAGAGGAUGACCAGCCACACUGGGACUGAGACACGGCCCAGACUCCUACGGGAGGCAGCAGUGGGGAAUUUUCCGCAAUGGGCGAAAGCCUGACGGAGCAAGACCGCGUGAGGGAGGAAGGCUCUUGGGUCGUAAACCUCUUUUGUCAGGGAAGAACAAAAUGACGGUACCUGACGAAUCAGCAUCGGCUAACUCCGUGCCAGCAGCCGCGGUAAUACGGAGGAUGCAAGCGUUAUCCGGAAUUAUUGGGCGUAAAGCGUCCGCAGGUGGCUGAUCAAGUCUGCGGUCAAAGACCGGGGCUUAACCCUGGAAAGGCCGUGGAAACUGAUCAAGCUAG